UGCAGGUUUGGAGGUUUGCAGGCCGUGAGAACAAGUGAAAAACCCUUAAUGUGAAAGCUUGACUGACUUGAUUGAGGAGCAACAAAGAGAGUUCAGGGGCUGGAGAAGAGUGGACUAAAGUCAGGGAGGCAAAGGCUGUUGGAGAUUUGACAGAUCAUUUGGUGCUUACAGAAUUAGACACUGAGUGGGUGAAAUGGGAAUCCAGUGGAGGUUUUUUAGAGAAGGAAUGGCCCAAAUUUGACUUCGAUUUUAAGAAGAUUGUCCUGACUGGUGUAUUGUAGCCAGAUUACAGAGAGGCAAAGAUGGAAGCAGGAGAUCAGCUUGCAGGCUGCUGGAGUAAUCAGGAAAUAACUGCAUCCUCUGGAGCUGAAAAUGAAAAACUGAGUAGCUGGUGGAAGAAGGGAGAUGGGCUUGGAACUUACAAACUAUGUUUCUGGAUGCAUCACAACAUUUGCAAGAGAGACGUUUUGGUGUCCCUGUGGGUUAAAAAAAAACACAACCUUUGCUGAUAUAAACUGAAAAUAAAUUUGGAAUGAGUUGUGUGCACUUGGAAAUGAGAAGGUGAGUUUGCCAGUUAUGAAUUGCAUAUGUAUAUGUGUGUGUGUAGUAUAUGGAUAUGCAUAAUAUGUACGAAUUUAUGUUUGGUAGGAUGUAUAUAUUGGAAGUACAUAUUGUUAAAUUAUUUAAAUAGAAGGGUUUUGGACAGAUGAGGGGGUUAUUAAGGACAAAUUAGAAUUUAAAAAUUUACUUUGGGAUUUUAAGAGAAAAAUAUUUUCUCAGGAUAGUUUGGCAUACUGAAAAAAGUGUAUAUUAAAAAAAAAACCUUUGUUGAUGUAAACUGAAAAUAAAUUUCUAAUGAAUUGCCCUUGUAAAUGAGGUGAGUUUGCCAGUUAUAAAUUGCAUAUGUACAUGCAUAUGUGUAGUAUAUGAAUAUGCAUAGGUAUGUAUAUAUUUAUGUUUGGUUAUAUGUAUAUUAAUGUUGAGGGCAGGUGUUGUUAAUAACAUUAUUUAAAGAGAAGGAGUUUGGGACAGACAGAUGAGGAAGUUAUGAAGGGCAAAUGAGAAUUUUUAAAAUGUACUUUGGGAUUUUGAGAGAAAAAGAUUUUCUCAGAAUAGUUUGGCACAGUCAAAAGGAUUUAUAUAUAUAACUUUUAAGCUUGUGAGUUUCUUUUACAUACUGUCUGUCUAAAAGCAAUACUAUGUACAAUGGACAAAAAAUUUAAAGGCAAAUAAACCUUGCUGUGGGCUGAAACUCACUUGUGCAUCCUAUCCAAGAGAACAAAUAAUGACCAGCUUAAAGCCAGGGUGUUUCGUUUCCUUCCUUCCUUCCUUCCUUCCUUCCUUCCUUCCUUCCUUCCUUCCUUCCUUCCUUCCUUCCUUCCUUCCUUCCUUCCUUCCUUCCUUCCUUCCUUCCUUCUUUGGUUAAUGGAUUUGUCAAGGGCAAAGAUGGUUUAGUUAUGAAGUGUGACUGUCUCGCUGUAUACAAUGUGAGAAUAAGAUAAAACUCCAUGGAUGAAAGAUGGAAGAAAUAAGUAGGUGAAAGAUAAUGCUAUCUGGAAAAGAAAUUUAUUAUAUUAGGCAGUUUGUGAUUUCACAGUGUAUUAGAGGUUUACCUUCUGUGGUGAGGAUGCCAGCUCAGAAGGAAACUUAUCAUUCACGCUUGUAUUUUCAUCCUGGAAGAAAAUUUUAUGUAAGUAAUAAUACUAGAUGAUAUGGCACAAUAUUAUUCUAUCUGAAAAGCAAAGCUGUGAAAGAAAAGUUUUGGCUUUUCUUUAUAGGACUAUGUCAUUUGUUUAAUGGUAAAUUAAUAUAAGCAUUUUUCUUGGAAGAUUGGGGGGCAUGUGCUUCUAAAAUGGAAAUGCUAGGACAUUUAAACACUGCUAAUAUUGUAGGGCUAAAUAUAUAUUUUUCUGGCUAAAUUGACAAAAUGUUGCACUAAACAAUAUAGCCAACUCCUUUUAAAGCUGAAAUUGUUACAUGAAGUGUUAACUAGAAUAUGAUCAUUUCUGAAUGAUGUUUCAUACCUUUAUAAAUGUCUUUUGCCCUUCGUUUACUCAUCAGUGCUUUUUGAUUCUCACUAAAUAAGAAUUAUUUAAAGAUCAAGCAACUUAAGCAGUCACUUUUAAAUUAUCUUAACAUUAUGCAAUCCUUGCCACUCUUACCAUUGGAAGGCCAUAAAAUAAUUUGAAUAGAAUAUGUGACCAGCUAAAAUGGAGAUGAUUUUAUGAUUUUAUUAUUCAUGAAACUUUAAUAUUAAUAGUUUAGAGCCUGAAUAUCUCCUUAUAUUAAAUUAUGGUGCAACAUAAAACUGUCAGACUAGGUUGUAUGCUCAUAUUCCCCAUGGAGUUUCCUUAUGUUUUCCUUUAAGGUUUCUUUCCUCUAAUAUCUAUAAAUUCAAAUUUUGGUUCAUAUGUUUCUUCUGAUAUCCCUAAAUCCUUAAUUCACUGACUUUUUUCUUUCUUUUGGGCUUGAUGUCAGGAACUGAUAAUGUGUUAGAAAUAACAUUUUUUAUAAUAACAUAAAAAUUCAUUAGUGAUUAAUAUGCUAAGUUGAUAAACUCUUAAGAGUUACAAUAGUUUUCUUGGGAUCAAUCCUGGUGCAGAUGUUUCUCUAGACUGCUGUGAUCUUUUCAAAGGAGACUUUCUCCCUAUUCCAGAACUCAGGGAAAUGUGACACCUAAAUACCUCCAAAGGAGAUCUACUGCCGUAAAGAAUGGUGAUCAUGUGCACUGGCUUUGGGAUAAUACAGAAUUGUAAUCUGUCUCUUUCUUGCUAAAGGAUCUGGAACAUACCUCUGAGUCUUGGCUUUCUCAUUUGCCUAAUGAGGCUAAUUGCACCUCACUAGCACAGUUGUUGCAAGGACUACAUAAUAUCAUUCAUGAAAAGCACCUAAUAGGGUCCCCAAUACAUGGUAAUCAUUAGGAUUUUUAUUGUAACUGAAUCAGUAGGCUAUUGAACUCAGAAGGCCAUAUUCUUAUUUCAUCUCUUCUAUUUAGAGUUAUAGACUAGAACCCUAGAAAGGUUUUCUGAAGGGUUAUCAUAGUUAUAAUAUUUCCGGUUAGUUCUUUGGUCCCUGUAGUGACUAAUGUUCUAAGUGGAUAAACUCUUAAGGGUUAGAAUAGAUUUUUGGGAUCAGCCCUGGUGAAAAUGUCUCUCUGGACUGUGGGAUCUUUUCAAAGGAGACUUCCUGCCCCCCCUACCGCAAUAUGAGGGAAAAACAGCAGUUGCCUGCUUCCUAAUUCUGUCACUUAAGGGACUAAAAGCAAGAGCCCCUUAUUCUAUAUACUAAGAAGGCCACAUACCACAGUUCUAAAUAUUUAAAAGUUAUAAAGUAAAGCUAAUAAAAUCUCCAGUGUAAUGUUCUAUGCUCUUAGCUUAACAAAUAUUCCUUCAUAAAGACUUAGAAUGCCAGGUUCAAGUUUUAAAUGCUCCUUGAAUUCCUUGAAAACUCCUUGAAGUCCCAUGAUGAAACAUGGUGGCUGCCGGCCAUGUUUAGAUUCAUAUUAUAAAGUAUUUAUAUUAAAGUUUCAUGUGUAAUAAAAUCUUCUUCAUUUUAGCUGGUCACAUACUCUAUUCAAAUUAGUUCAUGGCUUUCCAAUGGUAAGAGUGGCAAGGACUGUAUGAUGUCAUGAUACUUUAAAAUGUCUCUUUUUAUCUCAAGUUCUGUCCUGCACCAUGAAGGGCUUUGUGUGCAUACAUGGGGUUUUUCUGCAUGCAGAAUGAGGCUGAAACAGAAAAGAACCAUCUAAAACACAGGAUCCAGGGUAAGGGCUAUUCCUGUGAGAUUGUAAAAGGUGUUAUUAUUCUUGAAUGCCACCCAAGGUUGACUGCAACUUGCCUCUCUUUAAGUCAGUGAAUUUGGAUUUUAAAGUGAAGUUUCAUCAUACAAACUGGAAGAGAUCCAUGACACUUUAUUUGAAAUUGGGACAUCAGAAUUUAGUUGGGUCUUUCUAUUACUGAACCAUGAAAAAAUUCUUUAACAUUUCUGCAAUGCGUAAGAGUAAAAUUAGAUCAUAAAUUAGCAAUCUGUUGCUGCAUAAUCAAUUAACCUCCAAUCUUAGCAGCUUCAAACAACAAAUACAUGUAUAAACUUAGUUUCUGGAGGUCAGGAAUUUGGGAGUUCAGGUAGAUGGUUCUGACUCAGAGUUUUCUUUCUUUCUUUUUUUUUUUUUGAGGCAGAGUCUUGCUCUGUUGAUUUGAAACUUUGAUUCUGACUCAUUUCCAAUGUAAGGCCUUAGUGCUAUAAAAUUUCCCCUCACAUUGCUUUAACUGUGUCUCAUAAAGUUUGAUUCUACUGCAGUUCUGUUCAUCUCCUUUGCUUUCCUCAUUUUUAAAUAUCAUCCUCUUAGCUAUCAGAUGGCAUUAUAAUUUUUUAAAUCUAAAAUGUGAUUUACAAAACUCAUAAGAAAAUAAAUGGUGUAUUAUAUGUACUCAUAAUUCUCUUUCUGUUUUGUUCCCUCAUCCUUUCUGACAUUCCAAGAUUCCUUUAAAAAAAUUCUUCCUGCUUGAAUACCUUUCCCUAACAACCAGUCUUUAAAGAUAGAUCUGUCAGCUGAAAAUUAUCUUAAUAUUUUAGAUUUGAUAAGGUUCAACAGAUAUAGAUUUCACUGUUGACAAUUCUUUAAUUUCUGUACUUCAAAAAUAUUGUGCCACUUCUUUUAGCCUUCAUGGUUUCAGAUGAGAAAUCUACUGUCUAUUUAAUUUAGUGCCUCCUUAAAAGGAAUGUGUAAUUUCUCUCAGGCUGCUUUUGAGACCCUUUUCUUGUCUUUAA
ensembl:lncRNA